CACCGUCAAUGGCGACGCCGAAGCUCCACCAAAACCCAGAAUAGCUCUGAUCACCGGAAUAACCGGCCAAGACGGCUCCUACUUGACAGAAUUUCUCCUUAACAAGGGGUAUGAGGUUCAUGGUCUGAUCCGUCGGUCCUCUAACUUCAACACCCAGCGUAUCAAUCACAUCUACAUCGAUCCUCACAAUACCCACAAGGC
rnacentral:misc_RNA from 1 species